rnacentral:rRNA from 1 species
GACGAACGCUGGCGGCGUGCCUAAUACAUGCAAGUAGAACGCCGAAGGAGGAGCUUGCUUCUCUGGAUGAGUUGCGAACGGGUGAGUAACGCGUAGGUAACCUGCCUGGUAGCGGGGGAUAACUAUUGGAAACGAUAGCUAAUACCGCAUAACAGUAGAUAUCGCAUGAUAUCUACUUGAAAGGUGCAAUUGCAUCACUACCAGAUGGACCUGCGUUGUAUUAGCUAGUUGGUGAGGUAACGGCUCACCAAGGCGACGAUACAUAGCCGACCUGAGAGGGUGAUCGGCCACACUGGGACUGAGACACGGCCCAGACUCCUACGGGAGGCAGCAGUAGGGAAUCUUCGGCAAUGGACGGAAGUCUGACCGAGCAACGCCGCGUGAGUGAAGAAGGGUUUCGGAUCGUAAAGCUCUGUUGUAAGAGAAGAACGAGUGUGAGAGUGGAAAGUUCACACUGUGACGGUAUCUUACCAGAAAGGGACGGCUAACUACGUG